rnacentral:rRNA from 1 species
AGUGAACGCUGGCGGUAGGCCUAACACAUGCAAGUCGAACGGCAGCACAGUAAGAGCUUGCUCUUACGGGUGGCGAGUGGCGGACGGGUGCGGAAUACAUCGGAAUCUACUUUUUCGUGGGGGAUAACGUAGGGAAACUUACGCUAAUACCGCAUACGACCUACGGGUGAAAGCAGGGGAUCUUCGGACCUUGCGCGAUUGAAUGAGCCGAUGUCGGAUUAGCUAGUUGGCGGGGUAAAGGCCCACCAAGGCGACGAUCCGUAGCUGGUCUGAGAGGAUGAACAGCCACACUGGAACUGAGACUCGGUCCAGACACUUAGGGUAGGAAGCAGUGGGGAAUAUUGGACGAUGGAGCCAAGCCGGAUCCAGCCAUACCGCGUGGGUGAAGAAGGCCUUCGGGUGGGAAAGCCCUUUUGUUGUGAAGGAAAAGCAGCAGGUUAAUACCCCGCUGUUCUGACGGUACCCAAAGAAUAAGCACCGGCUAACUUCGUG